rnacentral:rRNA from 1 species
CGACGAGUGGCGAACGGGUGAGUAAUAUAUCGGAACGUGCCCAGUCGUGGGGGAUAACUGCUCGAAAGAGCAGCUAAUACCGCAUACGACCUGAGGGUGAAAGCGGGGGAUCUUCGGACCUCGCGCGAUUGGAGCGGCCGAUAUCAGAUUAGGUAGUUGGUGGGGUAAAGGCCUACCAAGCCGACGAUCUGUAGCUGGUCUGAGAGGACGACCAGCCACACUGGGACUGAGACACGGCCCAG